AAGAUAGUUGAUCACCCUUAGCUUGUUAGUUAGACAGACAACUAAUUAAUUGUAAAAUUUAUAGGAUCCUAGGUUCGUUUUUAUUUUUUUUCCUUAUUUAUUUUUUUUCCCUCCAGAUUUUAGAUUUUGAUAGAGGGAUGUUUUUCUAUGGGUUUGCUUUAUUGUUUGUGGUUGGAGUGGAGAGCUUGGAGCCAGAUGCAUUUCUCUAAUUCAGCAUUCUGGAGGAGUGAGGGGGAGAUGUGGUUUACAAACUUUAUAAGUCGAGAAGAGUGAAAUAUUUUCAUGUAUAGAAAGAAUAUUUGUCAAUGUCAUUUUGUGGUUGUUUCAGUUGCGAUCUUUAUCAAAUUCACCAUCUGAAAAUGCUUAAAGCAAGCACAGAAAGUGAAACCACAAAAGAAAUGUUUCAUGUUGAUUUGGCCCACAAAGAAUGUGCAGCUCUAAUGCAUAAAUUUAUGAUCCCAUAAGUGAACAUAUCUCCCAGAAGGGUGUAUCAGGUCAAAUGACAUUAGCAUGUCAGUGUUGCAAAAUGCUAGAAUAUGCAAGAAGCACAAGUCAGAGAUUUGCUUCUCAAUCUUUACUUAUGAUGUGAAUCUACUACUUUUUACUACCAUUGUUGUUUCCUUUCCAAUUCUAACAAAUUAUGAUUAAGUGAAAUGCUUCAGAUAAGGACAGAAUACAAAGAAUGUUCUGCUAAGUGAUCCUCCAGUAAGUCACAAAACAACCAAGCUUAGCAUAAUCAUGCAGUGAUGCAUUAGUUUGAUAGAUGAGAGUAGAUGCAGAUAAGCAAUAUAGGGAUAAUUGCAGGGAUGCUAGUUGAGCAUCCCCAGUGUACAAGUGGUAUGCAUUUAACCAUGCAAAUAAUGCAAGCAUGCACAGCCAGAAGAAGCAUGAGAUAUAUUGAUAGCCAUUUAAAAUGUGAACACCCCUUUUACUGCUGAGAAAAACAAAAAUUCAGUGUAAAAUUUUGCAUUUCAAAUUCCACCAACUGCUUAUAGGUUCCCUGACCCCUAUCACUGACAUUAAGGUCAAGGUUAAUAGAAGGACUCCCCGAUGUCAACAUAUUGUUCACUGAAGGUUACUACAAGCUAAAGAUACAAAAACACCAGAAUCUUAUGAGUUCUAAGUGACUACCAAAUCCUUUCAUCAAGUGAUCAUAUACUUCAAAUGUCUUUCAUUUAAUUGGGCAUAGUCCUAAAGUUUCAACUCGGAUAAAGGAGGAGAGUCGUGGUAGGUGACAAUCAGCGUAAAAAUUUCGUCACACCUCAU
rnacentral:misc_RNA from 1 species